rnacentral:rRNA from 1 species
UACGGGGGGUGCAAGCGUUAUUCGGAUUUAUUGGGCGUAAAGGGCGCGUAGGCGGUUUAUCAAGUCAGAUGUGAAAGCCCUGGGCUCAACCUGGGAAGUGCAUUUGAAACUAGUAGACUUGAGUAUGGGAGAGGGGAGUGGAAUUCCUGGUGUAGAGGUGAAAUUCGUAGAUAUCAGGAGGAACACCGGUGGCGAAGGCGACUUCCUGGACCAAUACUGACGCUGAGGCGCGAAGGCGUGGGGAGCAAAC